CAAGGUUUAGAAAAUGAAAACCAGAGGCAUCUCAAAGAGCAUUGUGUUUGGGCUCUGGGGCAAGCCUGGGCACUCUGCCAGAGCAGCUGGGAACUCUGGUGAGGCACUUUGAUGCAAAUGCCCAGCUGGGCCCAGUUCAUUCUUUAUUUACCCCACAGGGCUAUCCAUAGGGUAUUUGUUCUCCGUACCACUAGAACACAUGGAGACCAUCAUCCUCCUGCAAUAUACACUGAACACUGACAACAUGCCAGACGAUGGAACCAGGAUGGCAGGACACGAUCCAGGCUUGUGUAUUAUUACUGCAAAAUGUAAUGAAAUAGAAAAGGAAGAAAGAAUGGACUUCUGGGAAAUUUUCCAAUUCUUGAAAUGCAAUGUUAAUUGAGAGCUAUUUUUAGGGCUGCACAGAUAGUGCAGGACCCAGUGCCAUCAGUACAAACGGGUCCAGCCCAGGUGCAGCCUCCCCAGUGACAGCCCCAGGUCUUUGCCACUGGAGAGCUGGAAAACUUCAGUCUUCCUUGAUGCCAAGUCUACUGAAGGGCACAGAAGGAUUUCUGCAGAUGAUCUCCCCACAGAGGUAAGAGAAGAAAAAUGAGGCGAGAUGAACAUAAAGCCCUUCUGAAACUCAGGCCACCGUGAUGAUUGGGAGCAGUUCCCAGCCUGUCUUCAACUGUCACUCCUUGGCCCCCAGAAUGAAGGAAAACUAUUCAGUAUUUAGGAAACAUUUUAUAUUCAUAUGGUGAUGCAUGAUGAAAUGGUUUCCAAGGCCCUUAAAAUGAAGAAUUCAAAAAAGUGCCCACAGGAUGGUGACAAACAGGAUCCUUUGUAAGGAACCAUCUUCCCCAGCCAGAAAAUGACAAGUUCGUAGUCUUAAGUAUGUCCUACCAAGGAUUUGAGAAAAAUUUUUAAAGAACUAGGAACUUUAUUGAUUGGAGAAAUAUACUUCCUUUUAUUACCAAACCAAACAGAUCAUAGAACUAAUUUCCCACUGAUUCGUCUGGAUAGGUGACCUUCUAAUCCAAUGACUCACUUCUCUAUUAUUUCUGUACCCAAGAAUUCCAUUUCCUGAUGUAGUGUUAAAACCAGCCCUGCAAUGAUAGAACAGGCACACAGUAAACAUGUUUACAGGGGCAAGUGUUCUUUCAAAGAAAUUCUCAGAAUGGCUUCAAGGAAUUCAGAAACUCUGGGCUCAUUCAAAAACUCCCCAUCUCAACACACCCUAAAAGCACUUUAUGCUCUCUGAAUGUCCUAGCCACUCAUAAACAUUAAACUCUUGCAAAUGCAUUCUUUUAAAAAAGAUUUAAACAACUACUAACCUCCCACUCCCCCAUAUUACUAUAACUUAUUGUUUCUUACACUUUUACAAAGUAAACAUAAAUGCCCAUAAAAGUUAUCAAGCCAAAACUUGCUUUAGGCUAGGAGACUCAGAAAUCCAUUUCACCCACUUACGAAUAAACAGAAAGAACAAAGGGGAAGCA
rnacentral:lncRNA from 1 species